GACGAACGCUGGCGGCGUGCUUAACACAUGCAAGUCGAACGGAAAGGCCCUUUCGGGGGUCCUCGAGUGGCGAACGGGUGAGUAACACGUGAGUAACCUGCCCUCGACUUCGGGAUAACUUCAGGAAACUGGGGCUAAUACCGGAUAGGAAUCCUUGCUGCAUGGUGGGGGUUGGAAAGCUUCGGCGGUUUUGGAUGGACUCGCGGCUUAUCAGCUUGUUGGUGGGGUAGUGGCUUACCAAGGCGUUGACGGGUAGCCGGCCUGAGAGGGCGACCGGCCACAUUGGGACUGAGAUACGGCCCAGACUCCUACGGGAGGCAGCAGUGGGGAAUAUUGCACAAUGGGCGGAAGCCUGAUGCAGCAACGCCGCGUGCGGGAGGACGGCCUUCGGGUUGUAAACCGCUUUCAGCAGGGGCGAAGCUUGUGGUGACGGUACCUGCAGAAGAAGCACCGGCUAACUACGUG
rnacentral:rRNA from 1 species